UACGGGGGGAGCAAGCGUUGUUCGGAUUUACUGGGCGUAAAGGGCGCGUAGGCGGCGCAACAAGUCACUUGUGAAAUCUCCGGGCUUAACCCGGAGCGGCCAAGUGAUACUGUCGUGCUAGAGUGCGGAAGGGGCUACUGGAAUUCUCAGUGUAGCGGUGAAAUGCGUAGAUAUCGAGAGGAACACCUGCGGCGAAGGCGGGUAGCUGGGCCGACACUGACGCUGAGGCGCGAAAGCCAGGGGAGCGAACGGG
rnacentral:rRNA from 1 species